AUUUUCAGGUAUUCAGGUAUUCGAGAAGCAAGUAAUAUCGGGAUCAAACGCCUUGACUGUUGUCAUGUAAAUUUCUCUCUCGAUAUAUGUAUACAGAUAAUGGUUGUAUUUGAUAUAGCUAUUGGAGGUGACAAGACCUAUGAAUACAA